rnacentral:misc_RNA from 1 species
GAUGAAGAACGCAGCGAAAUGCGAUAAGUAGUGUGAAUUGCAGAAUUCAGUGAAUCAUCGAAUCUUUGAACGCACAUUGCGCCCCCUGGUAUUCCGGGAGGCAUGCCUGUUCGAGCGUCAUUAAAAUCACUCAAGCUUAGGUUUACCUAUUGCUUGGUCUUGGAGAUGGAAGCCAAUUUAUUGGAAUCCUCUUCGAAAUUCAAUGGCGAAGACCCUUGCUCUCCCAAGUGUAGUAAUAACUUAUGUCACUGAAGGAAGCGAGAAAUCUUCUGCCGUAACCCCCAUAUUUUCUAUGAUUGACCUCGGAUCAGGUAGGGAUACCCGCUGAACUUAAGCAUAUCAAUAAGCGGAGGA